GAUGAACGCUGGCGGCGUGCCUAAUACAUGCAAGUCGAGCGAACAGACGAGAGAGCUUGCACUCUCUGACGUUAGCGGCGGACGGGUGAGUAACACGUGGGUAACCUACCUAUAAGACGGGGAUAACUUCGGGAAACCGGAGCUAAUACCGGAUAAUAUUUAGCUUCGCAUGAAGCAAUAGUGAAAGACGGUUCUGCUGUCACUUAUAGAUGGACCCGCGGUGUAUUAGCUAGUUGGUGAGGUAACGGCUCACCAAGGCAACGAUACAUAGCCGACCUGAGAUGGUGAUCGGCCACCCUGGGACUGAGCCACCGCCCAGACUCCUACGGGAGGCAGCAGUCGGGAAUCUUCCGCAAUGGACGUAAGUCUGACGGAUCAAUGCCGCGUGAGUGAAGAAGGUUUUCGGAUCGUAAAACUCUGUUGUAAUGGAAGAACAAGUGCGUUAGUAACUGAACGUACCUUGACGGUUCCUUAGCAGAAAGCCACUGCUAACUACGUU
rnacentral:rRNA from 1 species